UGAGAGCGGGGCUGUAUAAAAAGGCGGAGCACAGCGGAGAAGCUCUCUCAGUAGUUCAAGUUCAUCACUUUGAAUGGCAUCUGUUAGGAUUUUUAGUGUGGCUGGGAAGUAGAAGGUCCUGCUGGUCUUUAGAGGCCACCCCAGCCCUUCCCUCCGUUUCGACCCACCUCACGCCACAUUAACAGACAUGAUCAUCAGACUGGGCAGGCUGACACCUGGAUACUUCCGCCUCCUCCAGAGGCAAGUAGCCGGUGAGGUGCAGACGCAGCCACAAGACCGUGCCAUCAACCAGAUAGCCAUGAUGCUGGCCAUCAUGGGCCUGAGUUUGUCCUACUACAGUGCCAAACAGAUGACGGAGAAGGUCCAGUCCCAGCCUGCGCCCUGAAGGGACUUGACUACUCCGAUCGUGGAGCUAAUGGAUGAACCAAUGAGAAGUGAAGGAGGUGGAAGAUGGGGGAUAUAUACAGAGACACAGCAGUGUCUUCCAAGACCGCACUUUUUUUCACCUCAGUCAUAUUCACACUCGGACACUGAAUUUCUGGGAUCCCUCACUCACUAUGCGCACAGACCUCAGGGCUGCUGCUAAGUGUUUUCUAUACUUUCUGUCGUCUGGACCUUGAGGGGGGGUUGUGGGGAUGGCUCACAUGGAGUCAUUGAAAAGACUGGUUUGGGUGGGUGUUCAAAACCAGCUUACUGCCAAUUGGGUCUGACCAUUAGUCGUUACAAAGGUACAUGCUUAUAGGAUGCUGUCAAUACUGUUCUGAGCUACAAAAAAAUGACUUUCUACUGUGAAUUUUGCCAGUGCUCAAAGCCUGUCCAUGUAGGGUUAACAAAUAUGAAAAGUAAUGCCUUUUAAGGGAAAGGCUGACUGUAAUUGAGAUGUAACUUGUAACGAAGUGAUGGCAGUCCCAGAACAUGGUUAAAGGGGAUGAAAAGUUGUCAAAACUUUUAGGUUUUCUGUAUUUUUCCUUCACAAGAGAACCUUGCAGAGACUUGUGAACAGACCAGCAGCUGUAUAAACAAACUGUCAAUAUACUUGUAAAUGUAUCUGUCAGCUCAGAGAUUCAGUAAAAUAUUUGCGCAAAAGUGCAGAAACUUUUUUUUUUUUUUUUAAAUACAAUAGAUCUGCAAAGGAACUUUAAACUUUUGACUACCUUUUCUUUAUGGCGU